GGUUGGUUAAACUGGGAAGGAACCUGGAAAUGGUUCUCUGGGUUCUUCCCUUUUUAGGUCCACUUGUUAGUCUCCUAUGUUUACUCCUUUUUGGUCCAUGUCUCCUAAAUAUAAUAACUCAAUUUGUCUCCUUUUGCCUUCAGGCCAUCAAGUUCCAGAUGAUUCUCAGUGAGGGAUACCAUCCUGUCAAUAUUAAAGAGUCACUCUUCUACAUAAGCCCUAGACUGCCCAUCAGAGGGACAUGACAGAGGUAUAAAAUGGGCUGUAACAUGAGAACAAAUAACUACAACAUUGUGCUACAAUCUACAGUAGGAAUUGGAGGAGAAAACAUUUUCUGCCAGAGGAAAGGAGUAGGGAAGGAAGGGGAGCUUCAUGAAGGAUACACUAUUGAGCUGGGAAGGAUUUUCACAGGCAAUGCCGAAGUCACUUCAAUUCUAAGCAUCCCCGCUUGGACCACAUAAUCACAGCCCAAUUUCUAAUGGACACUAUACAGUUCCCUAACACAAAAAGGAAGCAGAACUUGGAGCUAAAUGGAAUUACUUUGUAGGGGAAAUAAAUUGUAAGUAGCUAUCAAAUUUAGACAUAUGUCCCUUAAACUGGGUACCAAGAAUAGCUCACCCUUAUUGCAUUUCUGUUUUAUUCUUUUUAAGCUCCUCUUAUUAAAUGUGGUUAGAAGACUGAGUAGAGUGGAUUAACUGGAGUAUAUGGUGUGUGUAGAUAAAUUGGAGAAGAUAGGACAUAAAAAGCAAUGUGUGCAAAGUUUUUGAGAGCCUUAAAUGUUAAAUUCAGAAGUCUCAAUUUUACUUGGUAUAUAAUAGGGAAUUACCAAAGUUUUUCACAUGAGAAAUUAUAUUAUCAAAGGGAUGUACUACUAGGUCAAUUGAUCUGGAUGUUAAUUAAUUAGCUAUGUUGAAGUUAGGAGGGUGGUGAUGAGAAGUCUUGAGAAGGCAUUCUCAUCAUUAGAUGAGAGACAGCAGUUUCUCCAGAAGACAGAUAACAGUGAGA